UGGCAGAGGUUACUGCUAUCGGUGUUCGCCUAAGCCAUGCGAGUCAUAUGUUCUUCGUGAACAUGGCGUACUGCUCAGUAACACGUGGAUAACCUGCCCUUGGGUCCGGCAUAACCCCGGGAAACUGGGGAUAAUUCCGGAUACCGCAUAUCUGCUGGAAUGCUUUAUGCGUAAAAUGGAUUCGUCUGCCCAAGGAUGGGUCUGCGGCCUAUCAGGUAGUAGUGGGUGUAACGUACCUACUAGCCAACGACGGGUACGGGUUGUGAGAGCAAGAGCCCGGAGAUGGAUUCUGAGACAUGAAUCCAGGCCCUACGGGGCGCAGCAGGCGCGAAAACUUUACAAUGCGGGAAACCGUGAUAAGGGGACACCGAGUGCCAGCAUCAUAUGCUGGCUGUCCGGGUGUGUAAAAUACACCUGUUAGCAAGGGCCGGGCAAGACCGGUGCCAGCCGCCGCGGUAACACCGGCGGCCCGAGUGGUGAUCGUGAUUAUUGGGUCUAAAGGGUCCGUAGCCGGUUUGGUCAGUCCUCCGGGAAAUCUGACGGCUUAACCGUUAGGCUUUCGGGGGAUACUGCCAGGCUUGGAACCGGGAGAGGUAAGAGGUACUACAGGGGUAGGAGUGAAAUCUUGUAAUCCCUGUGGGACCACCUGUGGCGAAGGCGUCUUACCAGAACGGGUUCGACGGUGAGGGACGAAAGCUGGGGGCACGAACCGGAUUAGAUACCCGGGUAGUCCCAGCCGUAAACGAUGCUCGCUAGGUGUCAGGCAUGGCGCGACCGUGUCUGGUGCCGCAGGGAAGCCGUGAAGCGAGCCACCUGGGAAGUACGGCCGCAAGGCUGAAACUUAA
rnacentral:rRNA from 1 species